GGAAUAUUGGUCAAUGGACGCAAGUCUGAACCAGCCAUGCCGCGUGCAGGAUGACGGUCCUAUGGAUUGUAAACUGCUUUUGUACAGGAAGAAACAGUUAUACGUGUAGAACAUUGACGGUACUGUAAGAAUAAGGAUCGGCGAACUCCGUGCCAGCAGCCGCGGUAAUACGGAGGAUCCAAGCGUUAUCCGGAAUCAUUGUGUUUAAAGGGUCCGUAGGCGGUCUUAUAAGUCAGUGGUGAAAUCUCCCCGCUCAACGGGGAAACUGCCAUUGAUACUGUAGGACUUGAAUAAUUAGGAAGUAACUAGAAUAUGUAGUGUAGCGGUGAAAUGCUUAGAGAUUACAUGGAAUACCAAUUGCGAAGGCAGGUUACUACUAAUUCAUUGACGCUGAUGGACGAAAGCGUGGGUAGCGAAC
rnacentral:rRNA from 1 species